rnacentral:lncRNA from 1 species
UUGAUACGAGAUGUUUUCUUGCUGUGGGCACCUAGAGUUCACUUCUAUUGACCCUUAAGAAGAGCCAUAUAGAAUGUACCCAUCAUUUUCUCUUGAAGCACAGAAGUGGGGGUAUUUAUACCUGCACUUGUAUCUCCCAUGGGCUAGGUGUUGCCUCAUGAACUUAGAAGCCUCUCGUCUUUCCCAAGCUGUGCAUAUAAACUCUUGCCUGGUUUUAUGAAAGCACCAAGGCGGGGAAGACUUGCUAUGCAGUGGAGAUGAGUUCUAGUUAAUGAAAUGUGAAUGGCAGUGAUAUGCACCAGUUCCUGGCCUGGACCAUAAAAUCCUGAGAUACAUGAUCCUCCAUCCUUUUUCACCUUCGGCAAACUUGAUGGACAUCAUGAGCAUUCUAAGUUUAGAGGCCAAUGGUUGAAGAUGGUGGAGCCACGAGAUGGAAGGAGCCUGGAUCCCCAAAUCACAGCAUGGAAAUGAGCUAGCUUUUUGUCUAGGGCUAUAUUUUAGGCUUUAUCUGAGCUAGAAAUAACCUUUUGUUUGAGCUAUAAUACAUUUUUUUUUAAGUUUUAUUACAGCAUCUAGCAAAAACAGCAGCCAAAAACUAUUGCAACAAAAGCAAAUUGUAAAUUCCAUGUGGGAAAUUAUUUAUAUUUUCAUCUUUUCUCAGCAUGGAGCAUUCCCUUUUAUCAUUUAUAUAAACAUCUGUAUCUAAUAAAUGAUUCCUGAUAUUUACAAUUUAAAGUAGUAUUGCUUGCUUUUGUGAAGAAUCAAAUCCAUGCUCAUUGUACUUUCAUUCCCAUAUAAUUCUCUAAA